CACGUGUGUUGCGCACUUUAAUUUGAUACACCCAGUUCAAAGAACUCAACUUUCUCUCUCUUCUUCACUCCUCAAAGCCCAUCUCUUCUCAACUUUCAGGGCUUCUCAUCGUUUUUCACUCUUUCAAGCACAAGGUUUCUGAUUGUAAUGAAGGCAUAUCCUCUUAAUUUUGCCUGUUCUUGAUUGAUUUCUUACAUGUAAGUCAUUAUAUUUUAGCACUUCUUUGUAUGCAUGUUUGAUAUAGGGAAUUGAUACUUGGGUGCAUCUAUUGGAAUGCAUAUUUGUUUCCUUAUUGGAGAAUGAACACCUACUGAAAAUGGAACUUUUGGAAUGAAUACAUAUUUAUUUAGUUUACCCAGAUAUUGUUAUGGAAUUUUGGUGGGUAUCAAUUUGCACAUUAUUAUACCAAAGAUGCUCGACAAUAUGCCUGAAACAAAUAAAUUAUUUUUUCAAUUUUCUAAAGAUGCUUUUUUUCUUUUCUUCAAAUUGAGAUAUGCUUCUCUUUUCAUUCUAAAUUUAUAUGGGUUUUCUGAUAUUGUUGCAAAAGUAAGUAGACUCAAUUUGUUGAGAACAGUCAAUGGAUGAAUCAAAAGGCGCAAAAGAGUAGAGUCAGACACGAAGUGUGCCACCAUUGACAAGAUAUACCCAUUUUUUCUCCUCCAACGCUCUUUUUAGGUGGGGUAAUCUAAUUGCAGCUUUAGGAUAAAUUAGUCGUGUUACAUUUUCCCUAAAGAAAGACAAGACCAAGAUAUCAGUCAGCACAAACCCCCCACCACUCCGGCUGCAGAUUGGAGGUAAAGGAUGGACGAGAUUAAGAUAAAUGAGUCGGCUAGCUUUCACUCGGUAGAGAAGUUUGUCGUUUUCUCUUCUAUUUAUACCGGUUUCUGAGUUUAUCAUAUUAUGAUAAUGCCUUUUAUUUUGGUCAAGUAUUUAGUUUCACUCCUAGGAUUAAACAUUUGCACUCAUGAUGAUGUUUGAAGGCAUUGAGGAGAAGUACAUUCUUUUAAGCAGUUGAAAAUGUAUAUCAAUUUUUAUUUUUUCACUUUAUUAUUGUUACGGAUUUGCUGCUGCAUUUAAAUGUUGUUUCCAUAGUUUUUGUUAUUGUUUCUGUUAUUAGAUAUUUUUAGGCGAUGAAAAGUUUCUUUUACAAUCUUGGCGCUUCUUGAAGAUGUGACAUUGUCAUCUUUGAGACUUCUCAUUGACAUUGUAGUGGUGAGCAAUAUCUCUUUGUUGCUAUAGAGAAGGAAAAAUGCAGUGGGAAAACCCUACAUCAUGUUGAGGCUUCAAUUGCAUAACUAUCGAGUAAUGGAAAGAGACAUCAUUCAAGAUUAAAUUUCUAUAGUGGAAGGGAAAUGUGGACUCUAUACCACUGUUAUUGCCAUUGUUCUUGUUGUUCUGGGUUUGUAGUUUUUAUCUUUGUAUGAGUGAUGAACCAAUAACAUUUAGCUAUUAUUUAGCUUUACACUUCACGUAUAA